ACUACUUUCUGGAAAAAAAGGAAGAAAAAACGAAGACGACUAGAAGAGAAGGACGACAACUAGGAGACAAAAACUCAUCGAGAAGUAGAAGAAGAAGCGGCACAAUCUUGGAAAGGAAGAGCCCAUGCAUACACACACACACGCAAUUCCAUCAUCUGGGUCUCUCUUUUUCCUUCUAAUGCUCCGCUCAUGCUAUUCGGACGUACGGACCCUAAAGGGACCUUCUUCAUUCAAAAACGAAAAGCAGCGGACACGCAAUUCCCCUCAAAUAUGCAUGAAAUAUUCCGAGUUAAAGUGAAUAUCGAAGGGAAAGGACAACGGCAGCAGAAGCAAUGGAGAAGAGCAAAUGUUUCCAGGAAGUUUAUACUGUGAGGGAAAUGUUGGCAUUGUAUUAGCUCAAUUUGAAGAAAUGGCCACUAUUUGGAAUGGGGUAUUGUCACUUCAGAAACCUCAACAUUUCUAGAUCAGAAUGUUUCAAUAAUACAGUUUUAAAACGCGGACUACAGUACUUCAAACACUACCCUAAUCUUUUCUAAUACGACUCUGCUGUGUUAUUUCAUUAGCCAAUAACUUUGAUUAUUGUUCAAACGACACAUCUCCAAGAAUCCUUUCGAUAAAUCUAUCAGACCAUUAACGCCGUUUCCUCCAAUUCCUUUUCAACCGAGCUGGCUAAUGAAUCCAAGAGAACACAUCUGGCGACGGAGCAUCUAUAAAACGGCCGCCCGUCUGCUGUUCUCAAUUCCGUCUGUUAUUUGGUGCGAACACAACACGAUGGCGGAUGGAAUGAAGGGUCCCAUAAUACUCGAAUGCGCAAUUUGUAUUCGUAUGGGCGGUAGUGCAAUAAAAUAGGCCGCUACGAAGUGACUAGAAAAAGGUCCAUAAAACCUAGUGUGCUCUGUUACCGAUUGCUGGAUGACUGGGGCACUAAAAAAAAUUGAUUGUAUAAUUUGAAUGAGAUGUAACAAUCGGUAAAAAUUUGUUUUUCAAAAAGAAGUAUGACUGUGGUUGAACUUUAAAAGAACAAUUGUACAGUGCAUUUUUGAUCUACGAAACCGUCACAACUUUCCUAACUAUUAUCUCCGUGUAUGAAUACCCUACUGGCUGAUCACUUCUACCUUCUACCUUUGUGCACAAAAUAACCGGCUUGUUGCCUACCGAUAGGCGGCACUCAAGUGCGUGUUCCGGCCUUCGCGCAUCCUUAUCACUUUUCCUCUACUCAAAUACAACACAACUAUCCUCAGUCAAUCGAUCCGAGCAUUACUCGAGCUCUUUCUCUCUCUCUCUAACUAUCUUCAAUCACGUUUUGAAUCAACGAAUCUCGUCAGGAAACCGAUCGCAAUGACGACAGGAGGGUAGAACGAAGAUGAGGACAGCCCUGCAGUAGCAGCAGCAGCUGCCCGGUCCUUUGUCUUCGGCGCCAUGUGUUGCCUUCCAUCUCUCUUCUCCUUCACAAACGCCCUUGUUACCAUCAUCAUCACACCAUCUGGCGGCACUUUCCCAUUCAACACCAGAUGCCCUCUCUCUGUGUCUCCUACAGUUCAAGUUAUCCCUAGCAGUGGUUGGUGUACCUCUAGUCCUUCGACGUUAUAGAGCAAUCGGUAAAGAGAAUAAAAAAGUUGCUCUCUUUGAUCUAUCAAUUCUCACCGUCAUAUACAGCAGAAAAAGUGUUUACUUCGAAAGAAUAGCAAAACAGAUUAAAUUAAUUUCUCCAGGGUAAGAUCAUAUUCUUGUAUUGCAACUGUCAACUAAUCCUAUACAACACAUGUCUUUUGUUUGCCGCCUUUUCUAAGAUGUAUAUGAAUCCAGAACCAACGGCACCUGCUCAGCCGAUAGUAAACCAGUGUGUCCGAUGCGUUUCUGGUUCUGCACCUGUUGCGUUCUAUCUUCUCCGAUGCUUCCUAUCUUCUUCAGAUGAUCAAAAAAUCGAAAGGCGCUAGACGACGAGGUCGACGACACCCCGGGAGGCAAGUGAUUCCUACCAGACGUCCGACCGCCCUUCGCACCUUUACAACCACUUUUUGUAUGUGAGGCUAGUGUUUUGAGAAGUUACGAAGAUGAUCGAGGGUGCGAAAGAUAAGGUACCGAAGGAGAGAGAAACGAGAAAAUGAGGGAAAAUGAGUGAAAUUGAGCGAAUUGGAGAAAAGAUGAUAUCUUCGGUUUCAAAUCUAACUCGAAAACUUUCGAACAAUGUACACAGGGGACUCUUGAACUGCAAACGACCAUCAGAGCAUCAGAUACAUAACAUAAACAAUUAUUUUCAAUUCCAAUUUCAAUUGUAUUCAAACUUCAGUCCCUGGAAACUAUUUCUCUAAAUCGACUAUAUGAAUUAGGUUUAACGAAGAAAUAAUAAAUUGUCAAAACACC
ensembl:ncRNA F16A11.5 ncRNA